rnacentral:lncRNA from 1 species
UAUAUAUUGAUAGUGACCUUCCAGUCUUGAUUGCCUGUACUUAACAGUGCAGUUCUCGAUACAACAAACAGCUUAUUAAAUAUAACUCAUUAAUUAAGGAAUCCCUAUUAUAGGAAGAAAAGGAAAAUAAUAGCUAGUUGGUGCAAAUCCCCAUUCACUAGGCAGAGGCAAAUCCACUGUUUUGGAUGCACCAAAAUCCUCAUUUGCGGUUGCUACACAUUUUCCCUGGUCCUUUAAGGCCAAUGGGCAUGAUUUGUAGAAGUUGAGAGAUUUGUGUAUAGUGUAGUAGCCAGAUCCAUCUGCUUUAUCAAUUGUGGACACAGAAUUUUUUCUUGGAGUGUAAAGCUGGUGUGGACCUCCCA